UUGGAUCACCUGGGUUGAGAACUACUAGUAUAGCCACAGAACAGAUAUAGCGCAGGCCUCAGCAUGCAGGCUACCUCACAAUGGCCUGCGAAUGUGCCUUAACCUUGCCCUGCCUGGAGGGACCACCUCUGGGGAGGAGUAGGAAAUUCAUUCUCCAUACCCAUUCAUUCUCUGGCCUUC
ensembl:misc_RNA